rnacentral:rRNA from 1 species
AAGGUAGCUUGCUACUGGACCUAGCGGCGGACGGGUGAGUAAUGCUUAGGAAUCUGCCUAUUAGUGGGGGACAACAUCUCGAAAGGGAUGCUAAUACCGCAUACGUCCUACGGGAGAAAGCAGGGGAUCUUCGGACCUUGCGCUAAUAGAUGAGCCUAAGUCGGAUUAGCUAGUUGGUGGGGUAAAGGCCUACCAAGGCGACGAUCUGUAGCGGGUCUGAGAGGAUGAUCCGCCACACUGGGACUGAGACACGGCCCAGACUCCUACGGGAGGCAGCAGUGGGGAAUAUUGGACAAUGGGGGGAACCCUGAUCCAGCCAUGCCGCGUGUGUGAAGAAGGCCUUAUGGUUGUAAAGCACUUUAAGCGAGGAGGAGGCUACUUUAGUUAAUACCUAGAGAUAGUGGACGUUACUCGCAGAAUAAGCACCGGCUAACUCUGUGCCAGCAGCCGCGGUAAUACAGAGGGUGCGAGCGUUAAUCGGAUUUACUGGGCGUAAAGCGUGCGUAGGCGGCUUAUUAAGUCGGAUGUGAAAUCCCCGAGCUUAACUUGGGAAUUGCAUUCGAUACUGGUGAGCUAGAGUAUGGGAGAGGAUGGUAGAAUUCCAGGUGUAGCGGUGAAAUGCGUAGAGAUCUGGAGGAAUACCGAUGGCGAAGGCAGCCAUCUGGCCUAAUACUGACGCUGAGGUACGAAAGCAUGGGGAGCAAACAGGAUUAGAUACCCUGGUAGUCCAUGCCGUAAACGAUGUCUACUAGCCGUUGGGGCCUUUGAGGCUUUAGUGGCGCAGCUAACGCGAUAAGUAGACCGCCUGGGGAGUACGGUCGCAAGACUAAAACUCAAAUGAAUUGACGGGGGCCCGCACAAGCGGUGGAGCAUGUGGUUUAAUUCGAUGCAACGCGAAGAACCUUACCUGGCCUUGACAUAC